rnacentral:rRNA from 1 species
UCGAGAAUCUUUCGCAAUGCCCGAAAGGGUGACGAAGCGACGCCGCGUGCGGGAGGAAGGCCUUCGGGUUGUAAACCGCUGUCGGGAGUUAAGAAAUGCAAGGAUGUUAAUAGCGUUCUUGCUUGACUAAGGCUCCGGAGGAAGCCACGGCUAACUCUGUGCCAGCAGCCGCGGUAAUACAGAGGCGGCAAGCGUUGUUCGGAAUUAUUGGGCGUAAAGAGCACGUAGGCGGCUGUGUAAGUCGGUUGUGAAAGCCUUCCGCUCAACGGAAGAACGGCAUCCGAUACUGCAUGGCUUGAGUGUGGGAGGGGAGAGUGGAACUUCUGGUGGAGCGGUGAAAUGCGUAGAUAUCAGAAGGAACACCGGCGGCGAAGGCGACUCUCUGGUCCAUAACUGACGCUGAGUGUGCGAAAGCUAGGGGAGCAAACGGGAUUAGAUACCCCCGUAGUCCCUGAGCGGGCUGGCAAGGCGCAU